ACAGAAAGGAAAAAGGGGGUAACAUUUCACAUAUUUAGUGGGGGGUCAUUGUUUAAUUACUGUUACAUAUUCGGAGUGGGACAGGAUAGUGAGCAUUUGGCCCGGGGGUUCAUCUCUUGUCCUGUGUUACCUAGAUCACUGUACCAGUGCUAUGUCAGCUGUCCUCUGAAACCUUUAAGAGGGUGUGUCAGCCAACUGCCUGAUGAGGAAUGUCACUUUGGUCUGAGUGAAUAAAUUUGCCUGACUUGUUAUCUCUGUUCCAUAGGGUUCAGACCUACUGUCUCCUCUGUGAUAUUUCGGCCGUGUUUCCCCAGUCUCUCAACAUCCC